UCUGUGAAGUGCAUGAUGAAACUGCACCAGCACUUGUACAGCCAUCCAACCCUAGUGCCUUGCUAGCAAAGCCCUGUGCUUAGAGGGUAGAAAAAGCUACCCAGGAAUUAAUACACUGCACUAUUACUUUGCUGUACUUGGAGAAUUUCUGGGCUCUACAAGGUCUUUUGGAUUUCAGAGUUGUUGACUCAAGGAACAAAGAUCAUGUGACUGACUAACCUGUCCGUUAAGACAAGACAAGUAGCAACCUACUGAUGGCUUCCAAGACAGUUGUGUCCUAUUUAAAGAUGAAAAUAUGUAGCGUGGACCAUGCAAGGAGAUGAAUUACUGAAUAUUCAAG